GAUGAACGCUGGCGGCGUGCCUAAUACAUGCAAGUCGAGCGAAGCGGGGACGGGUGAGUAACACGUGGAUAACCUCCUAUAAGCCUGGGAUAACUUCGGGAAACCGGAGCUAAACCGGAUACUUAUAACUGGAUCCGCGCUGCAUUAGCUAGUUGGUAAGGUAACGGCUGACCAAGGCAACGAUGACUAGCCGACCGGAGAGGGUGACCGGCCACACUGGAACUGAGACACGGUCCAGACGCCUACGUGAGGCAGCAGUAGGGAAUAUUCCGCAAGGGGCGAAAGCCUGACGGAGCAACGCCGCGUGAGUGAUGAAGGUCUUCGGAUCGUAAAACGCUGUUAUUAGGGAAGCGGUACCUAAUCAGAAAGCAACGGCUAACUACGUGCCAGCAGCCGCGGUAAUUC
rnacentral:rRNA from 1 species